UGGGGGGUCCUGAUUUCAUGCAGGGCCAAAUUCAGUCCUGGUGUAAACAGAACCUUUGAAAACAAGGAAAUUUCUCUCUGUUGCACCCCAUGCUGUAAUUCCUAAAUUAGAGACACCCUGGCAUCAAACCCCAGGGGCUGUAUCCUGAUUUUUGAACCCCACUGAGGUCAGCGACGUGUUGGAGUGAUGCUGUUGAUUUGUGCAGGGGCAGGUCCUGGUCCGUGCAGGCCAGGGGAUGUUUUUGGGGGGACCUCUGGCAGUACCAGUUGUUGGUUUCUCUGUUUCUGUAUUGAAGGCUCUUGAGAUGGUCAUGUUUGGACCCAAGUGUUUAUUAUUUCUUCUCAGUAAAACAGUCUCACUGCUGUGAGUUCUGCAGCUUUUCAUUAGGAGGCACAAAAUGGCCAACAGUCUCUUGGUACAAGGUCUUUUAAGACUAAAUUAUCCAGUUAAGAGUUGACACCUGGAUUAUUCUCCCUUUUAACCCAAUAACUGAUCCCAAAGAGCCCCAAUAUGGGCUUUUCUGCCCAACUAC